rnacentral:rRNA from 1 species
UCUAGUAUAAGCAAUUAUACCGUGAAACUGCGAAUGGCUCAUUAAAUCAGUUAUCGUUUAUUUGAUAAUACCUUACUACUUGGAUAACCGUGGUAAUUCUAGAGCUAAUACAUGCUAAAAACCCCAACUUCGGGAGGGGUGUAUUUAUUAGAUUAAAAGCCAACGCCCUCCGGGGCUCCUUGGUGAUUCAUGAUAACUUCUCAGAUCGGAAGGCUCUACGCCCCCGACGGUUCAUUCAAAUUUCUGCCCUAUCAACUUUCGAUGGUAAGGUAGUGGCUUACCAUGGUUUCAACGGGUAACGGGGAAUUAGGGUUCGAUUCCGGAGAGGGAGCCUGAGAAACGGCUACCACAUCCAAGGAAGGCAGCAGGCGCGCAAAUUACCCAAUUCCGACGUGGAGAGGUAGUGACAAUAAAUACUGAUACAGGGCUCUUUUGGGUCUUGUAAUUGGAAUGAGUACAAUUUAAACCUCUUAACGAGGAACAAUUGGAGGGCAAGUCUGGUGCCAGCAGCCGCGGUAAUUCCAGCUCCAAUAGCGUAUAUUAAAGUUGUUGCAGUUAAAAAGCUCGUAGUUGAACCUUUGGCCUGGCCGGCAGGUCCGCCUCACCGCGUGCACUUGCCCGGCCGGGCCUUUUCUUCUGGAGAACCGCAUGCCCUUCACUGGGUGUGUUGGGGACCAGGACUUUUACUUUGAAAAAAUUAGAGUGUUCAAAGCAGGCCUUUGCUCGAAUACGUUAGCAUGGAAUAAUAGAAUAGGACGUGCGGUCCUAUUUUGUUGGUUUUCAGGACCGCCGUAAUGAUUAAUAGGGACAGUCGGGGGCAUCAGUAUUCAAUUGUCAGAGGUGAAAUUCUUGGAUUUAUUGAAGACUAACUACUGCGAAAGCAUUUGCCAAGGAUGUUUUCAUUAAUCAGUGAACGAAAGUUAGGGGAUCGAAGACGAUCAGAUACCGUCGUAGUCUUAACCAUAAACUAUGCCGACUAGGGAUCGGGCGGUGUUUCUAUUGUGACCCGCUCGGCACCUUACGAGAAAUCAAAGUGUUUGGG